rnacentral:lncRNA from 1 species
CUGAUUCUGAAGAUCUGCAGAGGAGCCCAAGAGUUUCCAUUUCUAACACGUUCCAGGUAAACUGGCAGUUGUUGGGCCUGGGACUAUAAGAACCAUUGCUUGGAGGACAGAAGGGUCCUGAGGACUGGGAUUCACAACAAAGCUUGCUGGAUGGGGAAGGAAAAGGUCAUGUCGCCAGAGCAACAGGAAGACCAUCCUGCAGAAAGAAAUAGAAGGGUAGCUAUUAUAGUGAUGAAUCCUCGUGACUCCAAAAUCAUGUGAUUAUCAUUAGAAUAGUUUGAUAACAUUAAUUUCUAGUUUUCAAGUUUUUAUCUAGUGUUUUCCAAUAUAUAGGGUGCAGCAAAAUGACCGUACAAGUUUGUUGAAAAGCCAGACACCUGGUCCUCAGCUUUGCAACUUCUAUUCAGGAAAUCUCGGAUGAAGCCCAGGAACAAGUGAAGCAGGACAUUUUUUACUUGAAGCCUACUUCAAAAUUCCAUCCAAGAAAAAUAGAAUACAAAUUUUCUCCAAGUACACACAGAAGAAUCCCCUGGUUAAAUCAGAGACGAAGGAAAGAGAUGGAUAUCUCCUCUGUAAGCUACUCUGAAAGAAAGACGUUGGCAAAAUAGCAUGUUGGAUUCCUGAAUAUUUAUGACUUCAUCAAAACUUACUGAAUUAUAACAUGACUAUUUGCCUAAGAACAUUAACCACUUAGAUUUGUAUGUUUUUUUUUUUCCUAAGAGUAGAGGAAAAGCAGAAGAAAUACUAUAAACUUAGUAGAAAUAAAAAUUGUACAUCUAGUCUGAGGCA